AAAUGCGAUAAUUAAUGUGAAUUGCAGAAUUCAGUGAAUCAUCGAGUCUUUGAACGCACAUUGCGCCCCCUGGUAUUCCGGGGGCAUGCCUGUCCGAGCGUCAUUGCUGCCCUCAAGCACGGCUUGUGUGUUGGGCUUCCGUCCCUGGCAACGGGGACGGGCCCAAAAGGCAGUGGCGGCACCAUGUCUGGUCCUCGAGCGUAUGGGGCUUUGUCACCCGCUCCCGUAGGUCCAGCUGGCAGCUAGCCUCGCAACCAAUCUUUUUAACCAGGUUGACCUCGGAUCAGGUAGGGAUACCCGCUGAACUUAAGC
rnacentral:misc_RNA from 1 species